rnacentral:misc_RNA from 1 species
GAAAUGCGAUAAGUAAUGUGAAUUGCAGAAUUCAGUGAAUCAUCGAAUCUUUGAACGCACCUUGCGCUCCUUGGUAUUCCUUGGAGCAUGCCUGUUUGAGUAUCAUGAAAUCUUCAAAGUAAAUCUUUUGUUAACUCAAUUUGCUUCUACUUUGGUAUUGGAGGUCUUUGCAGCUUCACACCUGCUCCUCUUUGUUCAUUAGCUGGAUCUCAGUGUUAUGCUUGGUUCCACUCGGCGUGAUAAGUUAUCUAUCGCUGAGGACACUGUAAAAGGUGGCCAAGGUAAAUGCAGAUAAACCGCUUCUAAUAGUCCAUUGACUUGGACAAUACUUUUAUGAUCUGAUCUCAAAUCAGGUAGGACUACCCGCUGAACUUAAGC